ensembl:lncRNA
AUGGAAGCCGGGGAGGAGUGGAACAAAGACCUGAGUGCCCACAAACUGCUGGAUAAAAAAGUGCACCGCAAGCAGAAUGGACGGAUAGGUAUAGCGCGGACUCUUCACAGCCUGUUGAAAACCCAGAACACAUUGCAGAUCCAGUCCAUCACCCGUUCAGAAUGUGCUGGCUCCUGUCCAAAUUUGAUGAUGAGUAGGAGCGAGCACGCCGAUGCGAGGCCCGUCCCUGUGGCCCUUACCCCCCAGUUGCCCCCCAGAGCUCACCGGCCCCUCUGCAUGUCGGUCUCCUCCGAUAGCAGCGGACGCUUCAGAGCUCUGGAGACGCAGGAGUGGAAGAACAACCUCAAAGCUCAGAUGGAGCAGGCCCACAGUGGAGGAGCUGCCAGCAGCACGGGCUCUCUGGAGCGAGCGUCCCUGUUCUGUGCCUCAGCUUCCACCACAGCGUCCAGUUCCAGCCUGUCCAGUCCGGUGGAGAUCCUAAAUAAGAGCAAAUCCUCCAGCCGCUUCUCUCUCUUCUCUCCGCCCUGGAACAGUAGCUCUGAGUCCGACUCCAACCCUCCGUCCCGUUCGGGUUCCAAGAAGUUGCGCAACUACAGCAGGAGAGCUGCUACGGGGCCAGCAGGAGCCAGGGGCCCAGAUACUCCUGAGCCCAAACCCAGCGGCCCUGAACACUUCCAGUACUCUGAACCUGUCAUCUCCAAGGUGACGGACUACAUCUUUGUUGGCAACCUGAACGCGGCAUACAAUGGGCGCACCCUGUGUCGGAAUAACAUUGACAGCAUCAUCGAUAUGAGCAGCGUGCCAGGAGAACCGGGGCCCAGCCUCAGCCUCAUACCCUGCACCUGCUCCCGCGGCACCCGUCACAGCUGGUCCCGCCUCAAAGUGGACAUCGGAGAUGUGCCGGAUGCUCUGGGCGACGGCCCGGCCCUGAAGCAGCGCUGCUUCGAGGACAUCAAUGAGUGCAUCGACGCCUCCACUGAGAAGAGGAAGCGUGUUCUGGUCCACUGUCGGGAUGGGUUUUCCCUGGCACCGACAUGCAUCAUCCAGUACCUGAUGGUGAAGCAGAACAUGAGGCUGAUUGCCGCCUACGAGCUGCUGAGGGCCAAGUACCCGGUCAACAUCAGAGAGUGUCACCAAAAUGUGCUGGUGAGCCUGGAGAGGGCACUGCGGCCUGGGGGCAAUGUCAACCCUGAGUGCUUUAAACAGGCCAUCUCACGCAAAGUAGCCUGGACAUAA